UACGUAGGGUCCGAGCGUUGUCCGGAAUUAUUGGGCGUAAAGGGCUCGUAGGCGGUUCGUCACGUCGGGAGUGAAAACUCGGGGCUUAACCCCGAGCCUGCUUCCGAUACGGGCAGACUAGAGGUAGGCAGGGGAGAGCGGAACUCCUGGUGUAGCGGUGGAAUGCGCAGAUAUCAGGAAGAACACCGGUGGCGAAGGCGGCUCUCUGGGCCUUACCUGACGCUGAGGUGCGAAAGCGUGGGGAGCAAACAGG
rnacentral:rRNA from 1 species